GCGUCGGUAGCUCAAUGGCAGAGCAGGAGCGUUCCGAAAAAAUCCGGAACACUGUUAACUCAUGAGAUAGUAGUUCGAUUCUACUCCGUGCGCA
rnacentral:tRNA from 1 species